GAGGGAAGUAGUUCAUUUUAGUGACUGACAUCCAGAGAACAACAUGCUUGGUCCCCCAGCAUGCUUCAUCCUCAUCCUUCUCUGCCAGCUCACAGGGCCAGCAACCUCUGGAGCUCCAAAAGAACUGGUUGGUGACCUUGGUGGGUCUGUGACUUUCCCUCUGAAGCUCCCAGGAAUUCAGAUUGACAGCCUUGUCUGGAUCUUCAACACAACCCCUCUCAUCACCAUAGAGCCAAAAACACCAGACAAACACGCCAAUGUCAUAGUGACCCAGAGUCAUAACAAGGAAAGGCUGGACUUCCUACAUGGAAACUAUUCCCUGAAGCUCAGCAAACUGGAUAAGAGUGACUCGGGUGAUUACCGCGUGGUGAUAUACAGUUCUUCCCUCAAAGACCCCUUCAUCCAGCAGUAUGGACUGCGUGUCUAUGAGCACCUGUCAAGGCCCAAAGUUACCAUGGGUCUGCAGAACAAUGAGAAUGGCACCUGUGUGACUAAUUUGACAUGCUUCAUGGACCAGGGAGGAGAAGAUGUGACCUACAGUUGGGAGUCCCUGGGGCAGGCGGCCAAUGAGUCCCAUAAUGGCCCCAUCCUCCCCAUAUCCUGGAGGCUGGGAAAAAAGGGCAUGACCUUCAUCUGUGUGGCCAGGAACCCCAUCAGCAGCAAUUCUUCAAACCCCAUCUUUGCCUGGAAGCUCUGUGAAGGUGCUGCUGCUGACUCAGAAUCCUCCAUGGUCCUGUAUGUCCUGUGGGUGCUCUUCCUGUUCAGUGCCUUUGCCCUGGUGCCAGUUAUUCUAAUUAUGCGAAGAGAAAGAAGAAAAGAGUCCAUUGAAGAGAAGAAGGGAAUAGAUACUCGUCAGGAAGUUCUUAACUACUACCCUCCUUCUGGAGAGACUCCAGUGUAUGACACAAUCAUCUGCGUUAAUAACACUAUUCCAGAGGAAAAUCUAGUAAAUGCACUUUAUUCCUCUGUGCAAAUACCUCAAAAGAUGGAGAAACCCCACUCUCCACCCACAUCACCAGACACACCAAGGUUAUUUGCCUAUGAGAAUGUGAUCUAAACAGCAGUGCAUCUCUUCUGCCUUGCCUCAAAGAAAAUUAAAAAAAAAAAAAAAAAAUCACUGAAUUGACCAGAAAUAUUGAGGAAGAAUGAAGAACACUGACUUCCUUCCAGAAUAACUAUCUUCUAUGCUCCUUCAGAUUUGAGUUCCUAAUUCCAUCCUCUCCUGAGAAAUCUCCUCAAACCCCAAAUGUGUAACUAUCCUUUCCUGGAAAUGUUACUGUGAGUUUAUCAACCAACUCCAAGCAAGAGGCUUAGAAGUAUCUCUAUUGAAAUGUAAAUGCGCUGUCCAUCAUAUGAAUGACAACUCCCAUUCCAGAGCUUGGAGAUCCAAACUAGACCAAGAGUCUGGUGGCCAAAAGAGUGAGAACAUAGGAAUGGCAGAUAUUUCCAGAAAAAGCAGAUGUAGCAGCCAGAAAUGGAUUCAUUAACCAACUCAUUACCUAUGUGCCUGGCACUGUGCUGAGCUUACACUGAUUUUGCUCAGGUGUGCUCUCUGCUUUCAUGAAAUUGGUUCCUCAUGAAUGACUUCUGUGAGCAUUAGCAGCACAUCUGAUCACAAAUGCCCAAUAACCAGAGUCAGCUGUGGAGCCAUAGGACUUGGGAGCCAAAGUGCGUAAGGACAGAGAAGCCAGGCAGAAGACAGGGUUUGGCUGGAUGGAUGCUCCAAAGUGUGACUGACCUGAAGACAAGAACCACAGCCUCAGCUUCAUUUACACUCUGUGCAGCAAGUGAGAAGCCAGGGCCAUAGGGCCUGUUCAGAAGCCCAUUUCAAAGGAGAAACUGAACCUGAAGACACAUUUAGAAUCUAUUAUAAAAGACUUGGAAUUAGGGGUGAUUGUGUAACUCACCCCCUAGCAGCGUGAUCAGCAGGAUGAUCCCGGAGGAAGAGAGUGGGAUAACCAGGAGGUGUGAGCACCUGGGCAAGUAGCAGUGGAAACCCAGGGUUCUGAAUGCCAGCCAGCUUUCUGCCCCGGGCAACAGAAGGCCUGGGCGUGACCCUUAAGGACUGUGAUACAAAAGAAGACCCCCUGGGACCCAGCAGCCCAGGACCCUGAGGAGAGCGGCCUAAGAACAACUCAAGUGAGGAGUGGCCCCUGGACUUAGCAAUGAGGAUGCGGCUGGGGACAGGGCAGACACAAAGGGUCAAAGAGCAAGUGGUUGGUAAGGAACCAGAGACAGGGAGUGGAGAGAUGUUCAGAAGCUGGCCGAGAAGAGGAAAGGGACAUAGUGAGUCUGGACUGAGACAGUGUCCUGCCACGGCCUGUGGAACCCAGGAGAGGCCGCCCACGACACCGGAGAGGCACAGCCUGGGAUUUCUGUCUCACGGCAGCUCCAGGCUUCGCUGAGGACAUGGCCAAGGACGUCUGGGAUGCCUCCUCAGUGGGCUCUGCAGGACUGUGUGGGCUGAGGGACGCACUUUCCCUCGGGGAGUCCCAAGAGUAAGCCGAGCGCCCGGGCACCAAGUCUGGGGCUGACCGUCGGAAGCUGGACAGCAUGGCCCUGGGAGGAUGGCCCCAGAGCCCUCAUUUCCUGCCCCCCACAGACAGCCCUGCUGCGGACGAUCCUGCCCUCCUUUUCUUCCACCACCCCUAGAACCAGGAGGGCGGCAGGUGGGGAUGCUGAGCUCCUGGACCGAGGCUGCCAGGGAGGGGGCCCACACAAGGAAGGGGUUACCUGAGCAGAGGGGCCUGGUGGGUAUGGAGUUGAAGCUCUGGCUGACCGGGUUGCUGGCCGUGCAGGGAUAGCUGUCGCUGACCCCGGGUCUCCAGGAGAGACGAAGAGUGGUUCCCCCAUGGGACAUAACUGCCCCCUGGCCGAGGGGUGCCCAUCUGUACUGAACAUCCUCUCCGGCCUGUCACAGGGAGCAGAUCAGGGUGAUGUAACAGGCCCCAUCCUUCGUGAUCCGGGAGCUGACAGUGAUAUUGGGCUCCCGCAGCUUCUCUGUGCAAGAAAGGAAAGUUCGAGCUCUGAGAAGACUCUGGUCUGGCCAAGCAGGGGAGAGAGGAAAGGUCAAAGUUCAAACAUGAGCCUUCCACCCCCUCCCUCACCGUAGACAUGCAGGGUGAAAUCCUUGGUGAUGUUGAUCGAGGGACUAUGCAGGGUGAUCCAGGCUCUGUAGAGGCCAGGGUCCUGCAGCCUCAGGGGCCUGAUCUGAAGAGAGUAGCCGCGGUAGAGGGCACUCCACCGUCUGCUGUAUGGUGCCUGAGUCCCGGCAGCCAGGACCGGUUCGCCUCCUGGCCCCACUUUCAUAAUGGCAACAAGCUCUCCAGAGCUCCAGGUGACCUUUUCCACCUCCUGCCCGGCCGGGACCUCCAGGGGCCGAAUGGCCAAGUCCCCGAGGAGACCGGUCACUGUCUCCCCCACCGUGUCCCCUUCCAGGAUUCCUGGCCCUACAGACAGACAGAAAACCACAGCUUCAGUGCCAGGGUCUCCCCUACGCACUCAGGGCCACCCAGGCCCCGUCAAGCUCCUCCUGCCCAAACCCCUCCAGCCUCCACACUGGUUCCAGUGCCCUCCCCCCCGAUUGCACUGCCGCCACCUGCCCAUGCCACUCUCUCAAGGGCGUUCUCCCCGGGGCCUGAAGGGGACUCUGCCCUCCACCUCUGCCCACUUCAGAGCCGCAGUGCACGGGGCAUGCUCAGGUUCCGGGUACCUGGACAUGAGGACAGCACUGGGACAGGGAGGGAGCUGCUGUUACUGACUGGGUUCUUGACCACGCAGGUGAAGGUCAGAGCCCUGUCCCCGAGCCUUGAGGAGACACUGAGGACAGAUCCUCCACGGGACACCAACAGUCUGGGGUCCCAGAGGUAGCCAGCUGUAGGUCACAGAGCCUCCUCUGCUUUCGGCCUCUCACGUCAGGAUGAAGAUACAGUGUCCACUCUCACCGAUCCUGGAGCUCAGUGUGACACCGGGCCGGGCCAGCUGCUCUGUGGGCACAAAAUGAACCAACCGAAGACUGCCGAACUGCCCUGGGCCCUCCCUUCACAGGGCAGAAGGCACAGGGCAUUGGUGCCAAGACCCUGAAUCAUCCUCAGUACACACAAGGAGAAACAGAGGCAGAAUCUGCCCACAUCUAUUCGAGAGCUUUGGGCUCUACGAGACCCUGCCAUGUAGCAUCAUUUGAUUCCCAGAACCACCCUAUGAAGUAGGUAGCAGAGGUUUUGCACCUACUCCGUUUAACAGGCUCGGGGACCUUCAAGUAACUUGCCCAGAGUCUCGGCUAUUACAUGAUGACUCCAAGACCCAAAUCCAGUGGAUCUGACCCCAAAGCCUGGGUUCCCACCCCAGCACUGACCACAUGAAUGCGGCGUGUGCCCACCCACACAGAACUGUGUUGUAAUUACAUCUCUCUCCAGGAGGGGUCUCUGCAGUACACAUCGAGCUUCCGGAUGUCCGAGCGUCCGGGUGCCCGUCGAGGCUCCCAGAAGAUUUGGCCCUUGGCCUUUGAGGGUUCUUCCACUCCCGUGUACUCCCUUCAACCUGCACCCCACCCCCUCUUCCCCCAGGCCCAGGAGCUCAGGUGGUUCCUUAAGGUUUCCACGUUGCCAUUAUUUGCCCUCCUGUGUCCCCAGGCCAGAGCCAGGGGGUUGGGGAGUGGCAGGAAGAGAAGCUAAGAGAGUGGUUAGUCAGGGCAGGCUCAACAAAGCCACAGGGUAUGGGAGAAGGCCUCUGUUACUCGGCCUCGGCCCUGGGGCCCACCUGACGGCAGCCCCAGCGGCAGCUCAACUGGGCAAAAAUAGGACCCCACGGCCCAGAAUGUCCCCCAGGGGGAAGGCAGGCUGGCUAACUUUCUGCUGCCGCCCCCGGUGUGGUCUUCCAGAACCCAAACCCUCCCCCCAUGACUCCUUCCGCAUGCCCUUCUCCCCUCAGCAGCCUCUCUAGCUCAAUCCCGUAAAUGCAGUGACAAACCAGACACACAGGAUGUGGCAUCGAGGUGCCUGAGUUCUAUUCCCGGCUCUGCCGCCUCUACCUCUGUGUUACUUCUCUCUGAGACUAGUUUCAGCAGCCCAGCAAGAAAAACCCCUCUGCUGCCUGCUGCAGGGCUGUCGUGAGGCUCCAGUGACUUGGGGAACUCCCUGAGAAGAACAAAAGGCUGGCCUGUUACUUCGCUGUAGCCGCUCCACUGGAGCAGAGGGAGAGGGGCUCUCCCCGCAGCCCUGGACCACCCUAGGGAACAGUCCCACCGAGGUCCCAGAAGCCCCGGUGUGCCCUCGAGCUGUCUGCGAACAGGCCAUGGCCAGGCCAGGCUUGAUGUAUGACAGAAAACGCUCUCUCCCCAGGAAGAAAAAAAAAUGCCUCAUCAAAUAGGAAUAUUUCCUAUAACAUGACUCAAGCCUGAAAAGCUUCUCUGCUUUCCCUCCAUCAGUUCACUUCCCCAUGUUCAUCCUCACGCAUAACUGUACCUUUUUGCUUCCCAGUGUGGGGGAGCACCUCAGCCAGGCCCCUCAGGUCCCUCAGGCAAAGCCUGGAACCACAGCUGAUCUGAGUCUUGGCAAAGUGCCCUGUGAUCCUCCCAGAAGACGAGAGGAUGGUGGCCCGUGAGACCCUGAAACCAUCUCCGCUGACCUCCCUUUCUCCCCUGGGAGGCACUGGUGAGUCAGUGUCUCAUGAGGAAGGAGCUUCCUGCUCCCACUGCUCAGAACAGAGCUGCAGACCCUGCCCCCUCAGGGCAGUCUAGAACUGCUUCUCUGGCUACAGGGUUUCCAGCACCUGCAUUGUGGUCAACUGGCCCCUUUUGUCAUUCUUUCUGGUGUGAGGGACCUGGGUUACUCUUUCACACUCUAUACGAGUAAUAAGCCGUCUGAAUCUACAAUCAGCUUGUUGUAUCUCUACAGGCUGAAUCAGCCUGUCCUCCUUGCUGCUGGGGUACCUGCCACCUGCCCCUAUGUCUUCGUUGCAGUUUUCCCUCCUGAAACAAUUUUUAAGUAUCUUUAAGCAAUAUUCCUGUACACUCCUGUACCUCUGUCCAGAGUGUCCCAACGCUCUUUCUCAGGAGAUUAUUCUCACCAGAUGGGAGUGUUCCUAUUUUAGCAUCAGGGAACCUCAAGAGCACUCAAGUAGCACAACUGAGUUCUUGGGGCUGAAGUUCCCAUUCUCUGUCCACUACACACCCGGGGGUUCUGCUGCCAUUGGCCUGGGGCACGUCCUGGGCCUUGUCGUUGUUCAGGAGACUUUCCCAGGCAACUCUGCUUUACAUGGUUUGUUGUGUUGUUUUUUUUUAUAGUGAGCACAUAUUAGCCUUGUAAUCAGAAAAAGUGUAAAUGUUACUAAACGAGAUGCGGAAAAGGCUGUGAGAAAGCCUGAAAGAUGAGCACUGCCCCACACCCAUUGCUGCCCGCCCGCAGGACGCUCACCAUAGACUUGCAGUUGGUACUCCCGGGUGCAGGUGAUGCGGGAGCUCCUCAGGUUCGUGUGGGCUCGGUAGGGCCCCGCAUCCUUCCAGCUCAGGUUGCUGAUCUGCAGGGAGUGGCCUGGGCCCACCACACUCACACGACCCCGGUACCGGGUCUCCGCCUCAUAAAAGGUGUCUGGCCCCCCUGCUUCUGCCAAGGUUACAAUGGCUAUGACCAUGGAGACGGAACGGGAUAUCCAAGAGAUGCUCUCCACCGGCUCUCCAGCCUGUAGCUGCAGGGGCAGAGUGACAGACCCCCCCUAGGGUCCCAGUUACCAUCACAGGGGCUGGGUCCUCUCCGGAAACCCCUGUCCCUGCAAAGACACAGAUCAGAAGCCUCAGGGGCAGCCUGACUAAGCCAGAGGCUCACAACAGGCCUGAGAGAGUUCAGGUAAGUGAUUAUUAUUCCCAUUUUAUAGAUGAGAAAACAGAGACCCAAAGAAAUUAGGUGGCUUGCUCCAGACCACAUAGCUAGUUGGUGAGAGAACAGGAACACAAGUCAGCCUCCUCCCUUUAUGCCAAAGUGGUCUUCUUCAGCCUUCACAUCAACUAAUUCACAUAUGAUACAAUAAUUAAUAGAUGCUGUGCUAGGGUUGCAGAUGCUGAGUGGAACGGAGAGAAAGGAAAAUUCUCGGGAGGUGCCUGGGGGGACGAUCUCUGCUGUGACUCUGAGCCACCCUCUUGCUGAUCCAGGCAAUAGGAUCAGAACUCACUUAGCCCAGCCCCACCGCAGCAGGAACCACCUUGUAGCAUCCCCCAUAAUCGCUUGUUCAGACACGGCUGAACAGAAGCCAGCUCUGAGGCUCUGCCUGGGUUCUGGGAACGUCUUUCUAGAAGGAAGGCUAGUGCUGGGCUGGCCAAGCAAGUUGAAGGGUAGUCAGGAGACAGUCAUUCAGUACCAGACUACUUGGGAGAAGAGCAUAAGCACCAGGGCACCAGUCAGACCGCCCGAGUUCAAACACUUGCUAGGUACCGGCUGUGUGACCUUGGGAGGCAACUUAUGCUCUUUGAGUCCUGGCUUUCUCACCUGUGAAACAGGGAGCGCAUGCCAUCUUCCAGGAUUUUGUGAGGGUGAAAUGAGAUAAUGCAAGUAAGUGCCUCACUGUUGGUGUUAUUAAAGAUUCUUGAUGUCGCUGGGACAACUUGGUGGCUGCACCUUGUUUGCAUCCUCACCAAAACCAGCCAGCACCCUUGUCGAGAAAUGCAAAAAGACCAGCGCUCAAUAGUGUGACCGUUGGAGUAUAUCUGCAACACUGACAUGCCGUCCCAGGAAACAGAAAGUCUGAAACUGACCCAGGUGUGCUGCACAGUGGUUUAGAAAGAAAAGGCUGCCUGGCUCAGGGAAGAAUCUGCGUCCUGAUUCAGAAUGGGAUGCAGAAGCGCCAGCCGCAUCACAGUUUCCAGGCCAGGUGG